rnacentral:misc_RNA from 1 species
AGUUGGCCUCAAGGAUUUCUUCAAAUUUUAACCUUAAUUCUAUAGUGGGUCUGUUCGAUCCCAAAUGCCAUGAACAAACAUAACUUGAAUGUUGUAGAACAAAUUGUUUGUUUUCCACUUAGAUCUUGAAUUGGGACAUUUUGGAGUUAAAUGACAGCCAUUUCAGUCACUACUGUGUUUCCACCGACACUAUCCAAACUUUUGGGUGAAAAGCUAUUAGCAUAUUCUAUGCUGUGCAAUCCGCGACUUAGGCUGGAGAAUUCAAAAUGUUGCCUUUUU